UGUUUAAAUAGCUUAUUUAGAGUAUUAUAUUGAAGAUAUAGGGGAAAUUGUAUUAAUUUUUAAAUAU
rnacentral:tRNA from 1 species